UACAGAGGUCCCAAGCGUUACUGAGAAUCACUGGGUUUAAAGGGUGCGUAGGUGGUCCGUUAAGUCAGUUGUGAAAUCCCCGGGCUCAACCCGGGAACUGCUUCUGAUACUGGCGGACUUGAGGCCAGUAGGGGUCACUAGAACUGACGGUGGAGCGGUGAAAUGCGUAGAUAUCGUCAGGAAUGCCGGUGGUGAAGACGGGUGACUGGGCUGGUUCUGACACUGAGGCGCGAAAGCGUGGGGAGCAAACAGGG
rnacentral:rRNA from 1 species